rnacentral:rRNA from 1 species
AUUGAGCGCUGGCGGCAGGAAGAACACAUGCAAGUCGAACGAGUGGCGGACGGGUGAGUAAUGUCUGGGAAACUGCCUGAUGGAGGGGGAUAACUACUGGCAACGGUAGCUAAUACCGCAUAACAUCAGAUGUGCCCAGAUGGGAUUAGCUAGUUGGUGGGGUAACGGCUCACCAAGGCGACGAUCCCUAGCUGGUCUGAGAGGAUGACCAGCCACACUGUAACUGAGACACGGUCCAGACUCCUACGGGAGGCAGGAGUGGGGAAUAUUGCACAAUGGGCGCAAGCCUGAUGCAGCCAUGCCGCGUGUAUGAAGAAGGCCUUCGGGUUGUAAAGUACUUUCAGCGGGGAGGCGUUACCCUCAGAAGAAGCACCGGCUAACUCCGUGCCAGCCGCCGCGGUAAUUC